GCAGCAUAUUCAUACAUCCAUAUAUUACACGUCCUAAAGAAGAGGUAAUCCUUAAUCAAAACCCAAAAGAUUAAGUAGGAAGAUGAACAAUCUCUUUUCCAGAUUUGGAUUCCCUCAUCUUAACCUCAGCAGAAUGAAGGUACAAAUAAGAAUUAUAGCUCAUUAUAAUAUAUCAAACCUAUAGAUGAUUUAAAGAAUCUAGAAAAACCUCUUAAGAGUGUAAUCAUAGAUGGUUUGUAGAACACUUGAAGAUGUCCCAUCUUCAGGCAACUUCAGAAGGCGAGCAACUUUCGAAAACUUAGCAUGGUGUCUUAAUAUGGCAUCGCUAUCGAGUUCUUUCAAUUCCUCAAUGAUGGGUACUUUUUCUGAAAAUGCCCAUUGCAUUGCCCAAAUCGCAAGAGGUCGCAUGUAACAUAGUGAUCGGUACCGGUCCGUGGUUGUCCAAGCUUCUGGUGUCUGAAAGUUGUAUCCCAGGCCAUCUUCUGACCAUGCA
rnacentral:misc_RNA from 1 species